UCACAGAGUUUUAGGCCUUCACUUUGGAGCUGAUAUAUUGCAAGCUGUUUGGUCUCCAUUACUUUGCUUGGAGAAGCAUUUUCUCUAGUGUAUUAUUUAUAUUUAAAGCCAGCAAAAAGUAGCAGUAUCAAUAGGAACAGCUUGCAAUGCAGAAAGAGGAAUGAUAUCAGCUGGAAAAAGCACAGAGUAUAGCCAGGGAAAGGUUGUCUGUGGCCUUGUUUUAACAGUUUAUGACUCUUCUUGCUUUAUAUAAUCGAUGUUAGUGUUGCAGAUCCAUCCCUAUGAAUGAGGAAAGAAGAGGAGAACAUAAGGCAUCCAUAUAAAAAGGAGCUGACGUGAUGUUUUGAUGCAGAUUUCUACCCACCUGUGUGUGAACCAGUUACACCAGAACUACAAUGUUCCUUUUUUUUUUUUUUUUCUUCUAAGUGGUAGCUGUGAUUUGAGUCCACCCAUUUCUUAUCUUGUAUUUAGCUUUACAAUGUUUGGUCAGAAAGUCUGUAGGACUGCAGCUUGAAUGCCCAGGGACCCACAGAAAUGAGAGCUGGAAGGAACUGGGAUUCUCAGUCUAGAAAAAGACUGAGAAAGAAACACAGCCACAGUUCUGCAUACAGUGCAUUUGCAUCAUCUUUCAAGCGUCUAAUCAAGCAUGAAUUACCUAACUGCAGGUACAAGCAGUGGAGGAAUUAUUUGGUAGCUAGUAUCUGCUCCUGAAGCCCAUAAGUGGAGGAAGCCAGUUUAAGGAGACCACCAGAGCUGUCAGGCACACAAAAGUCAGCAAAUCUGAAGAGCUGACUGGGGAAGGAAAGGAAGGAUGUCCAAAACCAAUCAUGGAAAUCUUCAACUUGUUGGUCUGCACUCUCUGUCUCAUUCUUUAGGAAUGACUGUUUCCCAUUCCUAAUGCCUUCAUCUGAUGAGUCAGAUGAGGCUGAUGCUAACCAGCUUUCAAGAGGGCAAGCCAUUAGGCUGAAAUGGAGGUAGUCUCAGGAAACUGAAAACUUCUGCCUGCUAUGUAGUAUGAAAAACUCAGGGACAUUUUUUUCCCCUAAUUUUUUGUUAGAUUAAAACAAUUCCGUGCAAAAACUUAUGGUUGGAAAUCGAACUAGGAGUCGAGCUAGGGAGUUGUGCCAGGCUCCUUAUAUUUCCUUCUUUAUACCUUCUGGACUUUAUUUCAGUUAAAUGUUUGUAAGAUCAAACUUCUAUGCUAUCUGUAAAUCAAAAUACUAUCAGUGGCCUCAAGUUUGGAAAGCCAUUUAACUGGUUCUGUGACUAAAUCACUGUCAUCUCCAUCUUGAUUUAAUCUCUUUCAUAAUGGCAUUAAGAACUGCAGUACAGAGAGGCAGAUCUUAUGUCUGCUUCAUGAAAUGUGCUACUUGUACAGACAUGCUGAGUUUUUGCCAGUUAAAAACAUGCUUCACCACCCCUCUGAUUUUUUUUUAUGCCUUCUGCACUCUAAUUACAUGAGCUAGUAAACUUACAUGUGUACAUAUCUCCAGGUUUACAUGGUAAGUGACCAAUGGAGAACAUAGAUUGAUCAGUGUGUAAUCAGCUUAAUAGUGAAUUUAGAAAGUGCAUUCAACAUCAAAGAUGUAGGGACACUUAGACCCUACAUGCAUGAUCAUUAUAGUUUGGGAGGAAAACGUUAUAGUGUGUUUGAUCAGUGAUGAGAAGUAAUUGUUAAAUAUGAAUUAAUAAAGUUACCUUAGAAUUAAGUUUUCUGAGGACAUCCAAAAUAGAGCAAACAAAGGGUGUGUCUAGGGGUUUGUUAAAGCAUUCAUGUCACCUUGUCAAUGUUGAGUGUCUUUUAAGAAGUUUUAGUUCUGUCUUUCCUCAGCAGUAUAUUUUAUUAUCAAAUUCUUGUGAAAGUAGGAAGUUGUAUAUAUUAAAGCACAGGAAAUCAAGGGAGGAAGACAGUGUUACACAAUUCUAAAUAAAAGAUAAAUUAACAUGUUCCCCCAUGUAAUUACAAGGGAAAGAGGACCUUGCUCUCUAAGCAGCAAAAGCAUAAUGAAACACGUGUAGCUUUAUUUCUUAUGUGUAGCUCAGUUAUACCCCUUAGUGUGGAUGCUUGACAGCUGUUUACUUUCUUGAUUAAAGUCUGACUAUAGGGGUGAGCUGGGCCUUUUUCAUCCUCACUAGAAAGAAAGGCAACAUCUUUUGAAUAGACUACAUGAAUAUGCAGAAUAUGUCAGGGUGUUUGUAUUGUUGAGCACAUGUUGCAGGAUGAGAGUAUGGGAGAGACUGAGAAUAAAAGACUAGAAAAAAUAAAGAUAAAAGGGAAAGUAGGGGCAAAAGGAAAAAUAUUAGAGAAUAUUAUAUGGAAAAAUUAGGAGAGAAGUGUGAAAUAAAGCAUAGAAGCAGAAGUAAUUGUUUCAUACAAAAAGUAUCACAGUCACAGAAUUCCCAAGGCUGGAAGGGACAUCUAGGGGUGUCUCCCACAUGAGCAGGGUCACCCCGAGCUGUGUGUCCAGGAGUGCCCAGCCAACAGAGGAAACAACCCCUUCUUCAUGGUUGGGAUUUUGUACCAACUGCUCAGCGAUCUCAUCGCAACACACAAGAAAUUUAGGGGCAGAUUUUGUUUGGUCCAUCACUUAUUGCGGUCAUGAUUGCUAUCUGUAGCUUAAAGAAAGGGAUGCAAAUAAAUAGGCUAGGUAAAUGCAGGUCCAGCAAUGUAAAAGUAUGAGUUUGUUGAUUGUUUCGGUUUUGUUUUUGUUUUUUAUAUUACAGUACAAGGAUGAUAUAUACACUUUCCGUAACAGUUGAGCUUUAGUUAUACAUAUAUAUUUUCCUCAGCUGAAUGUCAUUUUGUCUUAGUCAGAACUACUAAAAAAAAAAAAAAAGUAGUAUGAAUAAAACAAGAGUAAUUUAUUCUAGUACAAAAAUAUUUGCAUAAAUACUGAUUAAAAUUCUAAUACACUACACAUUUAUUACAUAGGUAGUCCAGCUAACCCAGAAUUUUUUAUAAUACCUCUCUGCAGAGUGUUGGCUUAGCAAAUUCAGAACAUUUUAUGAGAUAAAAUUGAUCUUGAUUGAUUUAUUGCUUGAAAAAUUUGGAGCUUUUCAAGGUUAUCUGAUGAAAAAGUAUGAAUAUGAAACAAACUAUUGUAUUAAUAACACCCCAAAAAGCAACAAAAUGUUUGAUUAAGCACUUUGUAAACUUACAGUUUUAUUACCUGAGGUGGGAAAAUGGUGCCUUAAGUUUUUCUAAGGGAAAAAAAAAUAUUUUUAAUUUUAACAUAUAAGCACUAUGUACCUCUGAUAUGUUCCUCAUGGCAGCCUCAUAAUUAAGCCAGUGUGUCACAUGAAAAUAAAGCCUAAGUACCAGUAGAGAAACUGA